rnacentral:rRNA from 1 species
UACGUAGGGCGCAAGCGUUGUCCGGAAUUAUUGGGCGUAAAGAGCUCGUAGGCGGUCUGUCGCGUCUGUUGUGAAAACUCGAGGCUCAACCUCGGGCUUGCAGUGGAUACGGGCAGACUAGAGUGCGGUAGGGGAGACUGGAAUUCCUGGUGUAGCGGUGGAAUGCGCAGAUAUCAGGAGGAACACCGAUGGCGAAGGCAGGUCUCUGGGCCGCAACUGACGCUGGAGGAGCGAAAGCAUGGGGAGCGAACAGG